CCUAAGCAUCCAAGAGAUCUUCUCCAAGGAGUGAAAAUUAGGUCUGGCCGCCCUCUUCUGUCACAAGAAUGAGAAUGAAAUCGUAACAGGGUUAUUUAUAGCUGAGGAGCGUCACAGAAAACAGGCCCAGGCCCAGCGGACAACCGCCCGACGACACACUUAUGCUGCCCAGCGGUUUGCUCCUAAUCGCGCCAUCGCUCGGCAGCAGGGGGCCACCGCCCGACGGUUUUCCUCUUAUCGCAAAUCCGCCCAGUGUCUACGCCAGGUGCCUCCUCCUUGCACUGGACCGCCCAGUGGUGAAUUUUGCUGCCGGGCAGUUCCUAGACUCUUCUUUUCUUCAGUUUUCUUGCUCUGUCUUGAGUCUAAGACCUCCAUAUUCAGUCCCCA
rnacentral:lncRNA from 1 species